AUACCCGAUGGCAUAAUGACUCCGCAUGGUUUCAUUAUUAAAGGAUUCCGGUAAAGGAUGGGGAUGCGUUCCAUUAGGUUGUUGGUGAGGUAACGGCUCACCAAGCCUUCGAUGGAUAGGGGUUCUGAGAGGAAGGUCCCCCACAUUGGAACUGAGACACGGUCCAAACUCCUACGGGAGGCAGCAGUGAGGAAUAUUGGUCAAUGGGCGCUAGCCUGAACCAGCCAAGUAGCGUGAAGGAUGAAGGCUCUAUGGGUCGUAAACUUCUUUUAUAUAAGAAUAAAGUGCAGUAUGUAUACUGUUUUGUAUGUAUUAUAUGAAUAAGGAUCGGCUAACUCCGUGCCAGCAGCCGCGGUAAUACGGAGGAUCCGAGCGUUAUCCGGAUUUAUUGGGUUUAAAGGGAGCGUAGGUGGACUGGUAAGUCAGUUGUGAAAGUUUGCGGCUCAACCGUAAAAUUGCAGUUGAUACUGUCAGUCUUGUGUACAGUAGAGGUGGGCGGAAUUCGUGGUGUAGCGGUGAAAUGCUUAGAUAUCACGAAGAACUCCGAUUGCGAAGGCAGCUCACUGGACUGCAACUGACACUGAUGCUCGAAAGUGUGGGUAUCAAACAGGAUUAGAUACCCUGGUAGUCCACACAGUAAACGAUGAAUACUCGCUGUUUGCGAUAUACAGUAAGCGGCCAAGCGAAAGCAGUAAGUAUUCCACCUGGGGAGUACGCCGGCAACGGUGCAAA
rnacentral:rRNA from 1 species